rnacentral:rRNA from 1 species
AGUUAAAAAGCUCGUAGUUGGAUUCCUGGCACGGGGUAGCCGGUCCGCCUUGCAAAAGGUGCGCACUGAGCGGCCUCGGCCAUCCUUGCGAUGGUCUAUCCUGGCAUUCAGUUGUCGGGGUGGGGAUUCGCGACGUUUACUGUGAAAAAAUCAGAGUGUUCAACGCAGGCUUACGCCUUGAAUACAUUAGCAUGGAAUAAUGAGAUAGGACCUUGGCGGUCUAUCUUGUUGGUUUGCACGCCGAGGUAAUGAUUAAAAGGGACGGUUGGGGUUCUUCGUAUUCAAUUGUCAGAGGUGAAAUUCUUGGAUUUAUGGAAGACGAACUGCUGCGAAAGCGUCGAACAAGGACGUUCUCAUUAAUCAAGAACGAAAGUUAGGGGAUCGAAGAUGAUUAGAUACCAUCGUAGUCUUAACCAUAAACUAUGCCGAUUCAGGAUUGGCGGUCGUUUGUUCUCGACUCCGUCAGCACUGUAUGAGAAAUCAAAAUCUUUGGGUUCCGGGGGGAGUAUGGUCGCAAGGCUGAAACUUAAAGAAAUUGACGGAAGGGCACCACCAGGAGUGGAGCCUGCGGCUUAAUUUGACUCAACACGG